rnacentral:rRNA from 1 species
AUUGAACGCUGGCGGAAUGCUUUACACAUGCAAGUCGAACGGCAGCACGGGGGCAGCCCUGGUGGCGAGUGGCGAACGGGUGAGUAAUACAUCGGAACGCGCCCGGUCGUGGGGGAUAACGUAGCGAAAGUUACGCUAAUACCGCAUACGAUCUGAGGAUGAAAGCGGGGGACCUUCGGGCCUCGCGCGAUCGGAGCGGCCGAUGUCAGAUUAGGUAGUUGGUGGGGUAAAGGCCUACCAAGCCGACGAUCUGUAGCUGGUCUGAGAGGACGACCAGCCACACUGGGACUGAGACACGGCCCAGACUCCUACGGGAGGCAGCAGUGGGGAAUUUUGGACAAAGGGCGCAAGCCUGAUCCAGCCAUUCCGCGUGCAGGACGAAGGCCUUCGGGUUGUAAACUGCUUUUGUACGGAACGAAAAGGCUCUGGCUAAUACCUGGGGCUCAUGACGGUACCGUAAGAAUAAGCACCGGCUAACUACGUG